UCUACUAGCCUCUCCUCCUUCCAAGUAUUUGAGCUCCAGUGACAUUAAGGCAAUCAGGAUUUUCCUAAUCUUUCUCUUGCCAGGUUUUCUUUUUCUUUUUUAAUUUUUAAAAUUUAUUUUCCCUUUUGUUGCCCCCCUUUUAAAAUUCCUUCUUCAGAAACAUGUCUGGAGGGCUGGGCAGACGUGCACCUGGUUGAAUGCACACAUCACAAUGAACAAGGACCAGGGUCAAAGCCCCUGGUCCCUACUUGCAAGGAGUAAGCGGUGAAACAGUGCUGGUGUCUCUCUCUUUCCUUCAACCCUCCCUUUCUUCUCAAUUUCUGUCUCUAGCAAGUAAAUACAUAAAAGUAUUUUUU